GCCAAACCUGACACAGAUAAAGUCAUCCAGGAAGUACAUGAAGGAUCGUGCGGGCUCCACGAGGAAAGAAGUAUAUGAAGGAUCGUGCGCAAAAAAUAUUUCUGUCAGGAACCCUCGUCACGCGAAAAGCUAGCAUAACAGAAAGAAACUGACCAAGAAAUAAGUUAUCGUCCAACUUCGAAGGACCCUACAUCAUCGAAGAAGAGAUA
rnacentral:lncRNA from 1 species